rnacentral:rRNA from 1 species
UGGGGGAUAUUGCACAAUGGGCGAAAGCCUGAUGCAGCGACGCCGCGUGGGGGAUGAAGGCUUUCGGGUUGUAAACCUCUUUCACUAUCGAACAAGGCUCAUUUUUUGGUGGGUUGAGGGUAGGUGGCGAAGACGCGCCGGCUAACUACGUGCCAGCAGCCGCGGUAAUACGUAGGGCGCGAGCGUUGUCCGGAAUUAUUGGGCGUAAAGGGCUUGUAGGCGGCUUGUUGCGCCUGCUGUGAAAACGCGGGGCUUAACUUCGCGCGUGCAGUGGGUACGGGCAGGCUGGAGUGUGGUAGGGGUGACUGGAAUUCCAGGUGUAGCGGUGGAAUGCGCAGAUAUCUGGAGGAACACCGAUGGCGAAGGCAGGUCACUGGGCCAUUACUGACGCUGAGGAGCGAAAGCAUGGGUAGCGAACAGG